rnacentral:rRNA from 1 species
UACGGAGGGAGCUAGCGUUGUUCGGAAUUACUGGGCGUAAAGAGCACGUAGGCGGUUUGUCGCGUCAGAGGUGAAAUCCCAGGGCUUAACCCUGGAACUGCCUUUGAUACGGACAAGCUAGAAUCUCGGAGAGGUUAACGGAAUUCCAAGUGUAGAGGUGAAAUUCGUAGAUAUUUGGAAGAACACCAGUGGCGAAGGCGGUUAACUGGACGAGUAUUGACGCUGAGGUGCGAAAGUGUGGGGAGCGAACGGG